GCUGGGUGCGGUGGCGCAUACCUGUAAUCCCAGUGGCUGGGGAGGCUGAGGCAGGAGGAUUGUGAGUUCAAAGCCAGCCUCAGCAACAGCAAGGUGUUAAGAAACUCGAUGAGAUCCUGUUUCUA
rnacentral:sRNA from 1 species